CUAUUUCUCUUUCCACUUUGCCGACCCAUCUCAAAAAUUCAUUCUUUCUCAAAAAUUCAUCCAUUCUCACAAAUUUAUUCAUUCAUUUCAAAUUCAAUGACUUAUUUCACUAACAAUCCAUCCUUCCUGGUUGGUCUCAAAGUUCUUGCAGUUGAUCACGACAUCGGUGCUCUCUGCACUAUACGGGACAUAUGCAAUGGCUUGUGCUAUCAAGUGAUCACUUGUUGCACUAUUUCUGAUGCAAGGAAUUACUUGUUCAACCAAAACUUUGAUAUCAUUCUUAUUGAAGCUAAUAUGCCAAGCAAUGAUACUUUUGAUUUUGUUGGACAAAUUACUUCACAUUUUCCUGUCAUCAUGAUGUCUCUUGAUCCCACGCCUUCUUCCGUUAUGGAUUCUAUUACCCAAGGGGCUUGCGCAUUCUGGUCCAAGCCCUUGGAUGAGAACCAAUUUAAGAUCAUGUGGCAACAUCUUGUACGGAAGGCUUUGAGCGAAACUCCUGAACUUCCUCAAACCUUGGAGGUUAAAGGUGGAAAAAAACGAGGAAGAGAAGAUGUUGAUUUACCAAAACAACCGCUUCCAAAGAAAAGCCGUUUGUCAUGGACACCCGACUUGGACAAACAAUUCUUAUCGGCUGUGAAUCAACUCGGGGUUAAUAGUAUUAAUGCAACACCCAAAAAAAUUCUUAAGCUGAUGAACUUUCCAGAUUUGACAGCAGGGCAAGUAGCUAGCCAUUUACAGGUUUGCCUUAGUUUUAAUUUCUUUGUUUUUCCUUAAGUGGAUGAACUUAUGUGUUUUAAUGUUUGUUAGUGUUUUGCUUGACUUGAAAUUAACAUUGUUAUUCCAAUGUUGUUUGUUUUGCAUAAAUAUAGGAAGUAUUUAAAAGGGGAAAUAAAAAAAUCAAAGUUCAGUAGGCUAUCUGCUUUUCAAGGUCAUGAUGAAAUUCCUACACAAGAACAACAUUUGACGGAAAUUGGUGAAUGCGACAUUUUUUUUGACCUGUCUGAAUUGUUCCCAGAUCUUGUCGAUAACUUGUAAAAUGUUAUGUCGUGACUAUUUCUGCCUGAAGUAGAAAUGAAGGCAGAGAAGGACAAGAAUAGAAGUCCACAUUAGCAACCUAUGUUCUUAUCUUUAUCAUUUGUUUUACAUUGUCUUAAUGUAA